UAUCUCUGUAGAGUCUGCAUAUCAAUAAGCGGAGGAAAAGAAACUAACAAGGAUUCCCUUAGUAACGGCGAGUGAAGCGGGAAGAGCUCAAAUUUGAAAUCUUCAAGGUUCUACCUUGACGAAUUGUAGUUUAAAGAAGUGUUUUCUGUUAGAUGAGUAGCAAAAGUUCCUUGGAAUGGGACAUCAUAGAGGGUGAGAAUCCCGUAUUUGGUUAUUCAUUCUAGCUUUGUGAUACACUUUCAAAGAGUCGGAUUGUUUGGGAAUGCAGUCCAAAAUGGGUGGUAAAUUUCAUCUAAAGCUAAAUAUUGGCGAAGAGACCGAUAGCGAACAAGUACCGUGAGGGAAAGAUGAAAAGAACUUUGAAAAGAGAGUUAAACAGUACGUGAAAUUGUCAAAAGGGAAGCGUUUGACACCAGUGUUGUUUUUCUCGAAAAUCAAUUACGAAUGGCUUGAUUUUGUGUUGUAUUGACCUUAUCAGCUUUCUUCACUUUUUUCGAGUCUUUCCUAAUGCACUUUUCGGUUAACAAGUCAACAUCAAUUUCUUUUGUUGUAAAAGAGUAUUCGGAAGGUGGCUUUCUUUUCGGAGAAAGUGUUUAUAGCCCUAUACUUCUACAAUCGGAGAGAUUGAGGUCUGCAGCGUAGAUCCUCCGGGGUUAGAUACACUUGUGCUAAGUUGUAGCUUUUCAUAGACAACUUGUUGACUAUGUUUAGUCAUGCGGCUUACUCGCUUGUGCUAUUUUACCUACGCUUAGGAUGUUGACUGAUAUGUAGUCGUA
rnacentral:rRNA from 1 species